rnacentral:lncRNA from 1 species
GCGAGAUAAUACCAUCCCCUCGACUCGUCUUUACCCAACACACGAGGCUGAAAAGGGUCUGAAAGACGUGCAGAGGCAUAUCCUCACCUAACAACACUUUCUUCUAGAAAAAAUAUGACCCUACUAGCUGGCUCCACCCAUUUGGCAGAGCCGGGUCGGUGGCAACAUAAAGUUCCUAAGCACAGGCCUAAAGAAGGGGUGCAAAGGAAGAUGCAUACCUGCCUUAAACAAGUAUUCACUUACAGCCACACAUCCAGGCCUAGAAAAACAUGCCCUUUCGUGGGCCUCGGGGACUAACAUCUCCACGUAAUGGGGGACGCAAUACUUCUCCCUAAUUUCCUCCAACUUCUUCAUGGUCCCCUUCACCCAACGUAACUAUUGUCACCAAUUCUCUACCCGAAGUGGACUCCAUGUCAGAAGUUUGGAAAAUCACAGAAAAAAUGAUUCUUGCAAAAUAAAAACAAUACCUACAACAAUGACUAACAAACAACGAACUGCGAAACGUCGGCGUUUGAAAUCGAAGGACAACUUUGGACGCCGAAAACAACGAAAGGCAGAAAACACAAAGCAAACCGUGAAGAAGGGUUCAAAUGAAAAUCUUUGGCCUUUUAUAGGGAGCCAAGACAAACCCCAGCCUUUGGAUGAAGGCCCCAUGAAUCUCAGCCCUCCAAAUCUGGUUUAAAUCCGAAGCAUAGAAUUCAAAUCGUUUUGAAAUCUACGCCUCAGAUUCGAACGUGCCUCUCAUGCACCUCUUCAAACGCGUCUCCUUCUAGAAAGUCCACCUAUAACCAUCAUUGUGCAUUCAAUGCUGCAACUGUAUGUGCCUUGAAAGUCGAAACGGUUCGACUGCCUUUUCUUGGUAACAUGCGCAAAACAUCAAAUCAUUGGCACAAACGUCGAAAACAGCCAUAUCUUCACAAGCUUCGACUAUUUCAAUCAACGCACCGCCUCAACUUCCACAAUUCAACCAUCACAAGCCUCGUAGGUUCGGUUUUUCAACCACCUCGACUUCUUCAUGACAAUUCAGCCAUCACAAGCUUCGCAACUUCGAUUUCUCAACCACAUCGGCUUCUUCAUCACAAUUCAGCCAUCACAAGCCUCGCAGAUUCGGUUUCUCAAUCACCUCGGCUUUUUCAUCACAAUUCAACCAUCACAAGCCUCGCAGGUUCGAUUUCUCAACCACCUCAACUUCUUCAUCACAAUUCAGCCUUCACAAGCCUCGCAAGUUCGGUUUCUCAACCACAUCAGCUUCUUUAUUACAAUUCAACUUUCACAAGCCUCGCAGAUUUGGUUUAUUCAACCACCUCGGCUUCUUCAUCAUUCAUCCACAACAGCACAUUUCUAACUCCAACCAUGAUAUAAAUAUCUAUACUUGGACUUGGGGGACUAUUAUUUGGGGUUCAAAAAUUCUUUCAAUUUUUACCCAACUCACUGGCUUUACUUCAUUAAAGUCCACGCAUUUUAUAAAUGACUAUACUUGGACUUGGGGGACUAUUAUUACAUACACACUUGGCCAACCCACUGGGGCUUAUGGGCCACUCAUGCCGAAUCACGUGGCACUCCAGUCGAGGUGGUAUGUAUGGCCGAAGCCCUUGUGUAUUCGAGGCCCAUCUUACCCGAUGUUAUUCUAUCCGAAGUCCUAAGGCUGUCAGUAGCACUAUUCCCCAGAGAUCCGGUCUUACACAAGGAUCCUCUCUGAGUGAUUGAUGGGACACCCAUUAUAGAGCUCAAGUGCCUUGUCUUGUCAACAUAGUGGCAGAGCCGCCAAUUAAUUAAUGUGUAGUAGGCUAGGAAGUCAAAUGUGACACCUAUAAUUGGACAGGUAAACUUACGAGAUG